CAGCCGCCGCGGUAAUACGAGGGGUGCAAGCGUUAUUCGGAUUGAUUGGGUGUAAAGGGUGUGCAGACGGCUCAUUAAGUCACUUGUUAAAUUCUUCGGCCUAACUGAAGGUCUGCAAGUGAUACUGAUGAGCUAGAGGGUGGAAGAGAGAAGUGGAAUUCUCGGAGUAGCGGUAAAAUGCGUAGAUCUCGAGAGGAACACCAACGGCGAAAGCACUCUGCUGGGCCGACACUGACACUGAGAGACGAAAGCUAGGGGAGCAAAUGGGAUUAGAGACCCCGGUAGUCCCUGUCUCUUAUAA
rnacentral:rRNA from 1 species